GCUAGAUUUUAAGGGAUCAGAGGUCCCAAUGCAUUUCACGGGUAACAAACCAAGUGAGUCUCGAGUGCAGGUUCCGAAGCUCGAAUUUUGAAAGGGGUCCCACUCUGGGAGAUGGAGUGAACGCCUGGCCGAACAGGGAGGAACCAUCGCACACCCCUAUGUCUCUGGGUGAUCCUUUGAUCUCAGUAUCUGAAGAUGACAAUGUGUGCUGCCUUCAAAAAAGUGAAUCCAAGGAAAGCAUCCAGUCCUGAUGGAGUACCUGGUCAAGUACUGAAAACCUGUGCCCACAGAUAUCUUCAACUCUCACUUUGGGAGCGUGUGGUACCCACCUACUUAAAUCAAGUUUCAGUCGUACCAGUGCCCAAGAAGAGUGUGGUAACCUGUCUAAAUGACUAUCGCCUAGUGGCACUUACAUCCACAAUGAUGAAGUAUUUUGAGAGGCUGGUGUUGAGGCAAAUCAGCUCCUAUCUAAGUGGCAAUCUGGAUCUGCUCCAAUUUGCCUACUGAAGCAACAGGUCUACAGCAGAUGCUAACUCAUUGGCUCUUCACAUAACUCUGGAACAUCUGGACAUCAGGGUGCUCUUUGUCAAUUACAGCAUGGCAUUUAACACCAUCAUCCCCUCAAAACUAAUGAGUAAACUCCAAGAUCUGUGCCUCAAUAACCCCUUGUGCAAUUGUAUAAUGCAUUUCCUUACUUGUAGACCCCAGCUAGUUCAAAUUGGCAAAAACAUCUCCUCCACAAUCUCCAUCAACACAGGUGCACCAUUGGGAUGUGGACUUAGCCCUCUGCUAUAUUCACUUUGCACCUGUGACUGUCUGGCUAAGUAAAGGUCCAACACAAGUUUGCAGAUGACACCACUGUUGUGGGCUGUAUCAAAGGUGGUGAUGAAUUAGCAUACAGGAGGGAGUUUGAAAAUUUGGCUGUGUAAUAACAACAGCCUCUCACUCAAUGUCGAUAAGAACAAGGAACUGGUUGUAGAGUCCCAUCUACCCAAAGCAACUACCUUUAAGGUGUCAGUAACCCACCUUUGCCCCUUCUCCAGUCACUAGAAACAGUUCCACCAGGCUUAGUAGCUAAACUACACAUGAAAGGCAGGAACAAUGAGAGAUGUUCACCAAUGGGAGCAUUUAAUGGGCAGUGGGAGCUUAUCCCCACUGCCUCCACCCCUCCCCCAGCUGGGCAACCUUAAGGAACCUUAACCACGUGCCAAUAUCCUAUCACUUAUCCACUUACCGGAGGAAGUUUACAGCGUCCAAUUAACCCAACAGCUUACCCUUAUAUAGAAUGUGGAAGGAAAUUCGAACACGUGGAGGAAACACGUUGUCACAAAGAGCUCAUGCAUUUUAUUGGAGAUAAUCAUUGAACCCUGGCUCUUGUUGAGAGGAAGUAACCCUGCUAGCUGCAUUUUGACUAUCCUAUGGGACAUACCAACUCCCCACUAUAAAUAUCCUGGGGGGUGGGGUAGGAGGAGGACUGGACUAGGCACUUGUGUGCUGCAGCAGCAACAGAAAAGAGGGUUGACUACAUUAAAACUAAUGACUAAUAACUGAUCUCCAGAGACCAAAAAGCCUUCCCAUUACUACAAAGCACAAACUUGGAGUCAGGUAUCAUAAAGUAUUUCCCAUUUUCCACCAGUGCAGCACCAACAAUCUACACAAACAAAUUAGUAUCCCAUUCACCGGCCCAAACAUUCAAUCCCUCAACAUCACUUUUCAGAAAAUGCACAACUUCAACUACAUAUCAAACUCAGUUUAUAACUACUACUUAGAAGCUUGAAUGUGGCCAAAGGAAUGGUACCUUUUCUAGAUUCUCCUUUAAGUAGCAGCAUCCUGACUGAAAUAUGUCCGUUUUAUAACUAGGUUUAAAUCCUGGGACUCCCUGUACAACACAUCAGUAGAAUUACAGGGGCACUGCGGCAAUUCGAUGAAACUGUUCACUACCUCUUUCUCUGGAGCACAUGGGGAAUAGACAAUAAACACCUGCUUUGUUGGCAAUGCACUUGCCUGUAAAUUAUAAGCAUAAAUGUACCAGUGCCCUAGCCAAAAUUUCUCAAGUAACAAAAUACUAAUUUUCCUUCGAAUAAAGCACAAAUGAUUGCUGGUUCCUUGUAAUAUGGCAGUGGUUCUACUUCAACAAUACUUCAUAGGUUGUAAAACAUUUGGAAUAACCCAAGCUGUUGAAAAGUGCUACAGAAAAGUAGCUCAACAAUUAGCUCCCUAACCAAAAAAAAGGGACAAUCAAGAAUAAUUUAGGCAGAGAAGUACAGCAGAGUCCUAAUCUUAAUAAAAAAAAAUAUCAUGCACUGUCCCCUGCAGUGUCAGAAAUAGUAUCUGCUUUUCAGUAGAAAGAUGGUAAUUAGUAUUUUUUUCAUGGAGAAAUUGCAUCUGCUUGUGAACAGACUCAUCACACUACUGAAGCCUUGGUGAUGAACAGUGCCAUAACCAGUAUACACAAUUCAGAUUGGGUACUGACAUUGAGUCUGAUAACUCAAUAGUGAACUUGAACUAUAAACUGGACAGUACGCUAAAUGGGUUCAAAGUCCCACUGCACUUUAUUUUGGCAAGGUCAACCCCCAGAAAUGAAAUCUGGCUGAUUUGCAAUGACAACCACAGGCAAAUGAAGAACUGCUUCACAAUGACACAAAAUAGAAUUGUGUAACAGUUCCACAGAUAAGUGCCGCUGUUUGAUAAAAGGAAUUAAUGCAAAGAAAACAGAACAUACCUAUAGCUACAAUACCAAAUAUGAUCAUUCAAAUUGCUAGUUAAGGUUUAUACAAAAGCUAAAUCUAGGAUAGCUGAACCUUUGAAUAAAGAUAUAUACAUAUUUUUUUAAAAUACUAAAAACACCAAGGGGGACCUACCUUUAUAGACAUACUGGAUAUAGUACUAGACAUACAGUGUAUUUUGGUUAAUUGGGCCAGAUUAAAUCAGGGUAGCUGCUUAUUUGGGACAACUCUUAAAGAACUACUGAUUGGAAAUAGUCCAAAUUCCCUUUGCUUAUUUGGGUUACUACGCCACUUAAUUGGGGCAGAAAACCAUUGCCAAGCAGUUUCUAACUAAUGUCAGACAUGUGCUCCCUCGUGGAUGGAAGACUACACUGUGCUUAGAGCAAAGUGAUUGUAAAUUACACUUGUUGAGUGUGCUUGUAUUCAAAAAUUUUCAUCAGGAGUGAUGUGAUUUCAUGUGACUGUGUGAUUGGCAACUAAAUAUUCCUAGAUUUUGUUGCUUCAGGAGUGAUAGAAUCAGAGGGACAAGAGGGGGAGGUGUUGUGUUGCUUGUCAGUGAAAAUAUUACAGUGGUGCGCUGGCAGGAUAGAUUAGGGGGCUGGUCUAGGCUGUUUGGGCGGAAUUGAGGAAUGGGAAAGGUGUACUAACACUUAUAGGGUGUAUUAUAGACAACCUAACGGGGACUGAGAAUUGGAAGAGCAAAUUUGCAAGAAGAUAGCAGAUAUUUGUAGUAAGCACAGGGUUGUGAUUGUGGGAGAUCUUAAUUUUCCACACAUAGACUGGGAAGCCCAUAUGGUAAAAUGUGUGCAGGGUAGUUUUUUGCAGCCAUACAUAGAGGAACCAACUAGAGAAGGGGCAGCGUUGGAUCUUCUGUUAGGGAAUGAAAUAGGUCAGGUGACAGAGGUAUGUGUUGGGGAGCACCGGGUCCAGUGAUCACAAUGCCAUUAGUUUCAAUAUAAUUAUGGAGAAGGACAAGACUGGACUUAGGGUUGAAAUUUUUGAUUGGAGAAAGGCUAACUUUGAGGAGAUGCGAAAGGAUUUAGGAGGAGUGGAUUGGGACAAUUUGUUUUAUGGAAAGGAUAUAAUAGAGAAAUGGCGGUCAUUUAAAUGUGAAAUUUUGAGGGUACAGAAUCUUGAUGUUCCUGUUAGGUUGAAAGGAAAGGUUAAAAGUUUGAGAGAGCCAUGGUUUUCAAGGGAUAUUGUAAACUUGGUUAGGAAAAAGAGAGAUAUCCACAAUAAAUAUAGGCAGCAUGGAGUAAAUGAGGUGCUCGAGGAAUAUAAAGAAUGUAAGAAGAAUCUUAAGAAAUUAUAAAAGCUAAAAGGUACAAGGUUGCUUUGGCAAGUAAGGUGAAAAUAAAUCCAAAGGGUUUCUAUAGUUAUAUUAAUAGCAAAAGGAAGUGAGGGAUAAAAUUGGUCCCUUUAGCGAAUCCGAGUGGACAGCUAUGUGUGGAGCCGAAAGGGAUGGGGGAGAUUUUGAAUAAUUUUUUUUCUUCUGUAUUAACUAAGGAGAAGGAUUUUGAAUUGUGUAAGGGAAAUGAGUAGGGAAGUUAUGGAAACUAUGAUGAUUAAAGAGGAAGUACUGGCACUUUUAAGGAAGAUGAAAGUGGAUAAAUCUCCGGGUCCUGACAGGAUAUCCCCUAGGACCUUGAGGGAGGUUGGUGUAGAAAUAGCAGGGGCUCUGAUAGAAAUAUUUCAAAUGUCAUUAGAAACGGGGAUGGUGCCGGAGGAUUGGUGUAUUGCUCAUGUGGUUUCAUUGUUUAAAAAGGGUUCUAAGAGUAAACCUAGCAAUUAUAGGCCUGUCAGUUUGACGUCAGUGAUGGGUAAAUUAAUGGAAAGUAUUCUUAGAGAUAGUAUAUAUAAUUAUCUGGAUAGACAGGGUCUGAUUAGGAACAGUCAACAUGGAUUUGUGCGUGGAAGGCCAUGUUUGACAAAUCUUAUUGAAUUUUUUUGAAGAGGUUACAAGGAAAGUUGAUGAGGAUAAAGCAGUGGAUGUUGUCUAUAUGGACUUCAGUAAGGCCUUUGCCAAGGUUCCACACAGAAGGUUAGUUAGGAAGGUUCAAUCGUUGGUUGUUAAUAUUGAAGUAGUAAAAUGGAUUCAACAGUGGCUGGAUGGGAGACACCAGAGAGUAGUGGUGGAUAACUGUUUGUCAGGUUGGAGGCUGGUGACUAGUGGUGUGCCUCGGGGGUCUGUACUAGGUCCAAUGUUAUUUGUCAUAUACAUUAAUGAUCUGGAAGAUGGGGUGGUAAAUUGGAUUAGUAAGUAUGCAGAUGAUACUAAGGUAGGUGGUGGUGUGGAUAAUGAAGUGGGUUUUCAAAGUUUGCAGAGAGAUUUAGGCCAGUUAGAAGAGUGGGAUGGGAGAUGGGAGUUUAAUGCUGGUAAGUGUGAGGUGCUACAUUUUGGUAGGAAUAAUCAAAAUAGGACAUACAUGGUAAAUGGUAGGGCAUUGAGGAAUGCAGUAGAACAGAGUGAUCUAGGAAUAAUGGUGCAUAGUUCCUUGAAUGUGGAAUCUCAUGUUGGUAGGGUGGUGAAGAAAGCUUUUGGUAUGUUGGCCUUUAUAAAUCAGAGCAUUGAGUAUAGGAGUUGGGAUGUAAUGUUAAAAUUGUACAAGGCAUUGGUAAGGCUGAAUUUGGAGUAUUGUGUACAGUUCUGGUCACCAAAUUACAGGAAAGAUGUCAACAAAAUAGAGAGAAUACAGAGAAGAUUUACUAGAAUGUUACCUGUGUUUCAGCACUAAGUUACAGGGAAAGAUUGAAGUUAGGUCUUUAUUCUUUGGAGCGUAUUAGUUUGAGGGGGGACUUGAUAGAGGUAUUUAAAAUUAUGAGGGCGAUAGAUAGAGUUGAUGUGGAUAGGCUUUUUCCAUUGAGAGUAGGGGUGAUUCAAAUAAGAGGACGAGUUGAGAGUUAGGGGGCAAAAGUUUAAGGGUAACACAAGGGGGAAUUUCUUUACUCAAGAGAGUGGUAGCUGUGUGGAACGAGCUUCCAGUAGAAGUGGUAGAGGCAGGUUCAAUUUUGUCAUUUAAAAAAAAAUUGGAUAGGUAUAUGGACAGGAAAGGAAUGGAGGGUUAUGGGCUGAGUGCUGGUUAGAGGGACUAGGUGAGAGUAAGCAUUCGGCACGGAAUAGAAGGGCCGAGAUGGCCUGUUUCCAUGCUGUAAUUGUUAUAUGGAAGUUCACAAGAAAUAAGCAGCAAGAAAACUUGGGAGCAACGCACACGAAAUGCUGGUGAAAUGCGGCAGGCCAGGCAGCAUCUACGGGAAGAACGUCAAGACAAAGGGUCUUGGCCUGAAACAUCAACUGCACUUCUUCCUAUAGAUGCUGCCUGGCCUGCUGCAUUCCACCAGCAUUUUGUGUGUGUUGCUUGAAUUUCCAGCAUCUCGUGUUUGCGUUUUUAAAGAAAACUUGGAACUGUUUUUCUUACUGGUUUCAAGCAUUCAUGCUUGGAGAUGCCAGAAAUAGUCAUGAGUGAAAAUCUUGUGACUUCACUACUUCAAAAAGUUAGGAACAACAAAGAAUUAGAAGGUAUUGCCAAUCAUCUUGAAUGUUACAAUUAUUGAGGAUACAAUCAUCAAUAGCAUUAUAAUGAAAGCAGUCUAUUAUCUACAAAGUGUCUCCACUGAUUGUCCAUUUACAGUCAAAAGAAUGCAUAUGAAUUCCUCUGUUGAUAGCUAUGAGCAAUAUAUUUUAUUAGCACUGUAGUAUUAUCAGUGUUCCAAUUUGUUCUGUAUUUCAAUUAAAUACACAAUUUGUUACUCAGUUAAACAGCAACUUGUGUUUUUCUUUAAUACACCUUUUUAACUAUUUUCAGGAGACCGUGUAAUUGAGGCAACCACUUAAUUGGGCCGAAUUGUAUUGGUCCCAUUGUGUCCCAAUUAAGCAGAAUCCACUUCCAAUGUACCAAAAUUUCAAUAGUUAAAGAGGACGAUGGAAUCCAUCCCAAUAGUGAAACUCAAGAUCAAAUGACAAAGUCAUUAAACAUGUUAAUAAUUAAAGAAUGCUAUUGCAGGAUACGAAUCUUUUUUUGCAAUGUAGUAUUUGGAAUCAUUCAUGUGUACUUU